GACGAACCGUGCGAACGUUAUUCGGAAUCACUGGGCUUAAAGCGCGUGUAGGCGGGCCGCCGCGUCGGCUGCUGAAAUCCCCCGGCUCAACCGGGGAACGGGCACCGAUACGGGCGGCCUCGAGGGGGGUAGGGGGGCCUGGAACUUCCGGUGGAGCGGUGAAAUGCGUUGAGAUCGGAAGGAACGCCGGUGGCGAAAGCGGCGCGCUGGACCUCUUCUGACGCUGAGGCGCGAAAGCUAGGGGAGCGAAUGGG
rnacentral:rRNA from 1 species